UAAAGGGGUCCUCUGCGCCUGCGUACAGACUUCUUUCCCAUGGAACCUUGGGCUGACCAGGGUAUUGCCUGAGUGGAUUCCACCAGGUAACAGGGGCAGGCCAGCAUAAUGCCUGAACCUUUCAGGCAUGCUUUGCAAAUCUACAAGCACUAGAUCUGCAACAGUGGCUCUUUGAAGUCCUGUGUUCUUUUAAACUUACAUAUUUAUUUACUUUUUUUUGAGACAGGGUUUCUUCCUGUGUAGCUCAGGCUAGCCUGGUAUGCACAGGCAGGGUAUUUCUGAUGGACCGGAGGAAUGGCCAUCUUCAGGACAGUCAUGGACUAAUAAUAUUGUUAGCAUUGUUACAUAGAAACUACAGUAUUUUAUGUGGCCCAUCUCACAGCCACUCUAUGGUGGUAUCACCACCAUUUUAUAGAUGAGGGUAUUGAGCUUCCAGCCAUCAUUUAUUUCUCUAAUGUCUAGAAAGUUGUCAAGAAGUUAGGGUUUAAAUCAAGGCAGGUUGGAUACACUGUCCAAACUUUUCAGAACGAUGCUGAAGAGCCUGUAGUUGCCCAUUGUGACUUUAAUGUCUAGCAUUAUGGAUCACUGAAUAUAGCCACUGACUGUUUCAAAACAGCCCCUCUCCUAUUCCGUCUCACGUGACCUUCCAGUUAAUUAUGCCUACAGAAGCAAGUGUCCACAGCCGUAGCUACAGACACUUGCCUAUGCAAAUAUCUUCUUAGCACACUAAUAAACUUCCUCUAUCCUUUGGGCUUGUUUUGGUGUUUCAUUUAUUACCCUCUUGGAGAUUAUUUGAUAGCUGUGACUAACCCUCACAGGGUAUUUAUGAUUAUUAAUCAAUAAUUAGUUUAGAAUAACAAUGAUGAAAUCUGAAAAGGUUUCCUCUGGCUUGUUUGUGAUUACAGAGUGUUCUAGUGUAGGUCUGAGUCCCUACGGAUUUGACUCAGUGGUAGGGUGAGUCCUCAGCAUAGCCAAGGUACUGGACUCAAACUCUCACAACACAACCAUCAGUGAUUUUUAGAACUGGGUGAUGAGCAUCAGGUUGUCUCCAAUCUUCUGCCAGCUCAGGGCUGCUGCGAACAGCUGGGUUCACCUCGUAAGGUGGUACAUCCAUUCCUGGUGGUUGAGUUGCUGGGUCAAAGUCAAAUGUGUUAGUGUUGUCAGCUGAAUCUGUCAUUAUUUAAAAAAGGCACUGAGACCUUUUAAAAAGGGAUAUUGCUCUUGGUGAUAAAGCAAGAACAACAGACUUGUCAAGGAACUCUGAAGAUGGCUCAGUUGGUAAAGCAUUUGCCAUGAAAGUUUAAAGACCUGAGUUAGAUUUCCAGAACCCAAAGUGUAGUGGUACCCAGUAUCCCCAAGUUGCAGAAAUGGAGACAGGCAGAUCCCUGGCCAGCCAGCCUAGCCUACUUGAUGAGUUAUAGGCCAAUGAGAUACCCUGCCUUAGGGUUUUUGUUAGUGAGAAGACACAUCAUGACCACAGCAACUCUUAUAAGGAAAACAUUUAACUGAGGCUGGCUUAUAGCUCAGAGGUUUAGUCCAUUAUCAUCAUGGCAGGGAGCAUGCAGGCAGACAGGGUGCUGAAGAAGUAGCUGAGAGCUCUACAUCUACAUCAGCAGACAUCAGGAAAGACUGAGUGAGCCACAGGGCCUGACUUGAGCUUCUGAAACCUCAAAGCCCACCCCAGUAACACAUUUCCUCCAACAAGACCACGCCUACUUCAACAAAGCCACGCCUCCUAAUAAAUAGUGCCACUCCCUAUGAGCCUAUGGAGGCCAUUUUUAGUCAAACCAUCAUAGAUCCUGUCUCAAAAAAAAAAAAAACAAGAUUAAAAAUAAAAUAAAAAGGUGAUGACUGAGGAAUAACACCCAAGAUUGUCUUUUUCUGUACACACGCAUGUGUAUAUCCCCCUACAUGAACACACACACACUCACAAACACCUGGAAAUUGUGUCCAAAGACCUGCAUUUCCUCUAGAGUUAUGAAUAAAUGUAGAUGUAUUCACUAUUACACAUUGCUGUGAUCCUCUGAGUCCAUGUUCCUAGAGCCUCCCACUAGUUUCCUGCUUUAGAAAUCUAGACUGUUGCUCUAAAGUUUCACAUUCUUGCCACUUUUUUACUUAAAACAUUCUUCCUAUACAGUAUUUUCAGAAUUUUAAAACAUUCUUCCUAUACAGAAUUUUCAGAAUUUUAAUAAUCUUCUACUACUUGAUCACAUCAAAAAAAUAAUAAUCCUCCGUUAAUUAAUCAUUUACGUUGUUUUUCAAUUCUGCUUUGAGUAUCCAUGUACACAUCACUGUUCAAAUUUGCUUUAUUUCUUAGUCAUUUUUGCCCUAAUAAUUAGAAUAAGUCAAGAGAAAAUGUUCUUACCCAUAUUCUAUGGGCUAUUGGGAUCAAUGACUUCAGGUUGGAAUAGGCAACCUUAAAAGUGUUUAAUAAUCACUAUUAAUUUGCCCUCAUAAAGUUGUACAUGCUUGUAAUUUCAGCACCAUUGAGGCAGAGGCAGGAAGAUUGGGUGGUGGCACUUGCCUUUAAUCCCAGUACGCAGGAGGCAGAGGCAGCUGGAUAUCUGUGAAUUCAAGGCCAGCCUGGUCUACACAGAGAAACUCUGUAUAAAAAAAACCCAAAAUAAAUAAAGUUAAAAUAAAAUACAGAUUGUUCUCCCAGAAGAUUGUGCCAAUUUAUGUUCCAAUCACCCUCUCACUUCUUUACCAAUACUGAGUUUUACCAGCAAAGGUGAUUUGUUUGAUUUUUAGAUGGAGUCUAUGUUGUCCCAGGUGGGCUCGAACUCCAAGCUCAAGAGAUCCUCUCGCCUCAGCUUACCAAGUAGCUGGAACUACAGGCAAACACUGACAAGCCUGGCUCUACCAAGUUCUGUUUCUGGUUAUACCCAUAAUGCUUGCUUGUUCUGAAAGUCAACUGAAAAUUAGCAAACAUUCAAAACAAAAAUGCAAAUCCUCAGGUAGGGCAUGACCCAAAUCCUAGCACUUUGGGGGAUGAAGCAAAGGGAUCAUGAGUAUGAGGCUAGCCUGGGCCAUGUGGAUAGACACAAUCUCACUAGCAAAACAAAACAGAAAGUAAACUCCCAUCAUUACACAGUUUUGGUUUAAUAUCACUGCUUUGCAGCUUUUAAAAAUCCAAAUAUUUUCCAUGAAAUUGUCACUGACUAUGCUUCAAAAACAGGAGUUUCAGGUUUUGCCAAGUCUAAGCUAAAAAAAAAAUGAAAUCUCAUUUUAAUUUGUCAUAUUGGCUGCAAAUAUUUUUCUCAAUCUCUUGAUGACUUUUUCGUGUAUUUGUGGUGUUCUGAAUGCUGAUGAGGUCAGAUUUAGAAUCGAUGUUCUUGCACCUUAUCGUGGCUCUUAAAAAUGUCUUCCAGUGGGGACAGGAGUGUUAAAUAACAUCGAAAAAUGAAGACCUUGGAGCUGGAGCUGACCUCAGCUGACAGAGUUGAUGCUUGAAAACCUUGGCUUCAAGCCCCAGUACUGCACAAACCAGACAUGGGGCAGCAGUGUCGGAAGUUCAAAGUCAUCCUCUGCUACAUAGCAACCUACACGCAUCUGGUAGACAUUAUUGUGUGUAUGUGGCAGGGAGCACAGAUGAUUCUCUGACUAGGAAGGAGAGAAGUUAAACAUGAGCUGGUGUAGAUGCCCAGAGAUCUUCAAAUGAAGAAAGUGUAGGCAGGGAAGCCUUCCCAGAAGAGGAGGCAUCUGAGCUGGACCUGGGUGGCCAGGCUGGCAUGGACCAUGUGAACAUGAGGAAAGAAGAUACAGCAGAGGCCAUCCUGAGGAUGUCACAUUCUUUGCAGGACAGGGGCAAGGAGACACUGUGGGGCUUCGGCCAGAACACUUAUCCUUAAAAUACUGUGCUGAGAAGACAAGAGACAGGGGAUCCCCAGAGCAAGCUGGAUUGCCAGACUAUCUGUCUCGUGAUCUCUGGGUUCAACUGAGAGACUCCGUCUCAGUGAAGAAGGUGGAGAAUGAUUGAGAAAGACUCCUGCAGACAAUUUCAAGCUCAGACCUCCACAUGUACAAGUAUGCAAACAUGUACACAUGCACAUAGGCAUCUACUCACAUGGGUGUGCCCACAUACGAGUGAACAUGUAUAUAUUCAUGCAUAUCACACAAAUACAUAUAGCAAACAAACAAAACAAACUUCAUGUGUGCAGGGGGUGGGGGAGUAGCUUUUCAUUAGCAAAAUGGAUGGUAUUUCCAGCUGGGGCAAAAGGUCUAAAUUCUCUAGGCCAGAAAGCCCUCCAGCACUGAUGAGUCAUCUGUGGGUUCCAGGACAGCUUGGAUUAUGACACAGUACCUCUUACAUCUAUGGGAAGCUAUCACCUUGCAUAGCUCUGUGCUCUGGGACAGCAUUCACAAUGUUGUCUAUGACAAACAGAGAUGGCAAGGCUGAGGCUGACCAUGGGACCACUUGUCUGGGAUGGAGUCUUUAACUUGGACCAGGCAGGGGUGGGGUGGUAUUCAUGGUGUGAACUGAACUGAGUCCUUUGGAAGGGCAGAAAGAGGUCUUAACCACUGAGCCAUCUCUCCACCCCUACAAGGGGGCAUUUUGAUAACGAGAUUUGGCUACCAACACCAUUUUUACAUGAAUAGAUUUACAUGUAAAUGAGAAUGGCACAAGACCUCCAAGUCUUCCUCAAAAGUGAGGAAGCCAGAAAAUCUGUGCUGGAACCAAGGCCACCAUUUGGGAGUCUCAUUCUGAAUGUGACUAUGGAAGGAGAGGAAUCUUUCCCAAGGGCAGGACUGGACUAUCAGGUGCUAUUCAAGGGACUGGCCACUGCCAGAUAGAGAGCUCCGCUCUUUUUGUGUGGUGACGGGACCUGACAAUGUGGGAUAGUAUUUCCAGGCUGUUUGCUCAUCCAUGUUUUCAUUGGCUGCUUCUGUGUCUACUUCACAGCUCUGUAAAAACUAUGUGAGAAGAACUUAUCAUUAGUACUUAAGUCAUCAGGACAUAAAACCAAACAAAAAUCCACACACAUCACAAGUAGAUGGAGAGCCACUCCUAAGUAACUUUCUUUUAGUCAUAUGACAUGAUGACAUUUGGUUUGUGUUGUUCUCAUGGGGAGAAGAGUGACUACAUGGGGCCAAAGCAGUUCACUGUCCCUCAAAUUCUUUCUCAGAAAUAGACCACCUGAAUUUUACUUAGGAAUACUGUUUUCUUUUCUUUUUGACAGGGUCUCAACCAUCUCUGGCUAGCCUGGAACUCAUUAUGUAGACCAUGUUGGUAUUGGAUUCAUAGAGAUCUGUUUACCUCUGCCUCCUGAGUGCUGGGAUUAAAGACAUGUGCCACCACACCCGCCCAGUCUUUAAAACUUUUUUUUCUAACAUUUAUGUACUAUGUGGGAUUGCAUGGACUUUGCUGCUGGCAAUGUCUGCUGUGUCUGAACUGCUGGCCCCACACAAUGGCAGAGAGGCCAGCUGCAGCCUUUUCAAGCGUCACGAAAUAUUAUAAACAUCUUCUUUGCUGUAAUUUAAUUUGUGACCACUUGAAUCCUUGUAUGUGGAGUCACAGAUACUGAAGGCUAACAAGAUCUUGCUAAGUUGUCCAGCUCAAAAUGACAAGCAGAUAUUUCCUCCUAAGGACCCUGGCAUGACACAGUAGGAGACAGCCCAUGGGGUAGAAGCAUUUAAAACAGAAAGCAGUAAGGCUUAGUACCUGCAGUGAACUAGGGCAGGCUCACCGUCUACCCUCAGGGACCUCACGUACUUCACAAACUCCAAGAAGUCUGAGGAGUCAUCAGGCACGCCGUGGUCAGGCCACGCAACGUACUGGAGAUGGGUCACUGUGUGUUCUUCCCCGGUCUGUGGAAGAUGUGGCCUCGAUUUCUGUGUUGGCCCAGCUAGCUCAAGCCACCUUCUUGCCUUGGCCUCCUGAGUGCUCGCACUGCAGGCAUGUACCAUCACUCACAGCUUAGAGAGAAAGAAAAUAAUUCUUCCUCAAAUCUAGACUGCUACCCGUGUAAGUAAAAAUGACAUUUGUUUAUAGCAGAAAGGUGGUAUAUAACUAACAGACACACAGAAUUUGUCGGGAAACAGCUCUCCUCGCCUUCUUCUCAAAUGUCACAGUGAAUAUCCGAAAUUAAAGUAUACUGUGGGGGCUGGAGUUAAAGGUUUAUUGAAACAGUUUGGAUGGGAAAUCGGUCCUGGUGAGGAUUUACUCUCUGCCUCUUCAAGAUUCAGAGUGGUCACUGUCAGCAGAACCAGAGGCAGGGCAGCCAGAAAAACACUGUACGUCUGUCUGUCUGACCAUCUGAACCUGUGUUUAUCUCAUCUACACAGAAGAAAACUUCCCCAUGGACUCCUGCCCUAGAAUAGCUGGGGGACGAUACUCUCCAAAGGGUAAUGACCUGUGCAAGGCAGAGUUACACAGACCUGCACUCCCCAGUAUCUUUAUCCACAGGAAUCUGCAGGGAACUGGCCUCAUUUUAGGCCUAUCUGGAUCUGGAUGCACUAGGGGUGCAGUGGAAGAAUCAGAAGUCUACGAAGGGCCUCUCUCUUCACUCUGUUAAUAUGCGCUAGAACCCAGUGUGUAUCCUGCGAGCCUGUCUCUCAUGCCUGCUCAAGGAGGGAUGCAGAAGCCCCACAUCUUUGGAAUAGUAUCUGUUAAGCCCCAGGAGGUGCUUUUAUGGAUGCUGCUUAUAUUGACCUCAAGACCACUCUCUGAGGUAGGAAUGGUGACUAUGAAUGGAUAGACUGAGGCUCAGAAGACCUUACCCCAUGUCAGGUCACAAGAACUACAGGACAGAGCCUGAAUUUCAUCCCAGGUUGGUGCCCUCUGAAGGGACAAGAGGAAAAGAAAGGGGCCUGCCACCACUGAGAAGCAGGUUAUGGAAGAACAACGGAUCCUGUAGCUGGUUGGUAGGCCACAGCCACUGGCAAAUGUUGCCAGGUGUUGGAAUACUGUCUCUAUAAGGCAUCAUAGGCUGCUGAAACUACUCUCAUCUUCUGGUCCUAGCCAUGCAGUAACUCUGAGAAGAGGAUUUGGGAAGGAAAAGUUGACACUGAAAUGGCUUUGGAAAGGAAGUGCUUUAGGGUUCCAGAGGAACAUGCAGAAGGCUGGGUUCCUGGCAGAGGAAGAAUGUCUCAGGAAGAAGGGCCAGAUGGGGUUUGUGGGAGAGCCGUGGGCCCAAUUAAGAAGACUGUAUCAUCAGCUCUUGAUUUUUUGCUAAUUUAGUUGGUCAACAAGCAUCCCUGGGGAAGGGUUUGAUGAAUCAGAGAUACUCUGGCAUUAUCUUCUGGGUGCUCUCCAAUCCAGUCAAAGUAAUGCAGGUAGAAAGAACAGGCACAUGUUGGGGCAGAUCAGGUAGGAGUAACAGAUGUCCUGGACAGAGUGGGCAGGAAGCUCAGGACUAAAGGCCUACAAUGGAUGAGGCAAGGGGAGAUCAUUUAGGCCAAAGGAAAAGGAGAUAGGAUGUAAAGGGUCUCCUGGACACCCAGGGGACAACAGACCACUCAGGAGAGCGGUGCAAAGGGUGAAAGUUGGUUUAGAGACAGGCAACAUUUUGCUCUGUGCAUCUAGGGCCACUCCAGGGGAUAUCCAGGCAGGAAAUGCAGUCUCAGACCCUCUGGCAAGGCUCAGCUGAGUGGAUGAGACUAGCCUAUGAAAAUUCUGGGCCAGUGAGCUGUUGCUUCUGCAGUGGGAGAGAAACGGGAAGGUUCUGAGAACAGAGAGGGUUGAGAGAAACCAAGUGGUACUCAUAUGGCUACUGAUGGCAUUAAAUAAUAGUGAGUGGAUGAAGUGAAGAAACAGGACAGCUGAGACCUCCUUUGAUGGCUAGUGUUGGCAGCUAAGUUAAGUACAUUGAGCCUCUGGCUCGGAUAGUAGGCUCAGGGAGAUGGGCUCCAUGUGUACACAUGAGGGGUAGUUGUUGGCUUUGGGAUCUUACGUAAUGACAGUAAGGUAGAUGUGUCCAACCAGAGAGUAAGCAGUUGGCCUGGAGGUUCACAAGAUGGAAGGUUUAUAAGGCUAUCUGAGGGCAUCCCGCGACUAGCCACACUCAGAAAUCAGUUCUAUGGGGAGGGAGCCAUCUACCUCUAAGGGCACAGUAUCAAGCACAUACAGAGAACAAGGGAGUUGUAAGAGGGAGGUCUGUGUCACCCCAAAUCUCUUCUUGUCAGCCUCCUGACAGUCAUGGGCUUUAUUGCUACUCAGAGCAAAUCCACUGUCUCUGGUCCAGUGAGACAACAGGACACCAGGGCUUAGCCAUUCUCAACACUCAGAACCACUCAGGAGAUAGGCCUUUGUGAUGAUGUGGAAACUGGAACCUUACAGUCCUAUUCAAAGUCUGUGCUUUAAGUGACUGUUGGGACAGGAAGGAAGAUUAGUCACAUUAUUCAUGUAGAUAUAAAAUAUAGCCCUCCCCAAGAAAAAAAUCAUCUGAUGGAAGGCAAGGAAUAUUGGUUCCCCCAAGUCUCAAUAGAGAACCUACCAAAAGCACCCUCAGGAGAAGUGAACAAUGACAGAGGUCAGUGACCCUGCAGGCUGCAAGCUUUCUGAGUGCAGGUGAUGAGAUGCUUCAGGUGACUUCCUGAACACAGAGAUUGCAUAGACUCAGUGCAGCACAGGAAGGGCAUGGGACUCUAGGGCAUGCCAGCCGAGAGACCCACUUUCCUACAGGCAUGAACGACAGAGGGAGAACAAACAGGAUGCCCUGGAAAGUUUAUCUUACAGCAAAAGAGGGGCAAAGUCAUUCACCUGGAAUGACUGAUUCGGAAGAAGUGGUGAUUGGGAGAACAAAGGGUGCAGGUCAACUGAGAAUCUGUAACAGGAGAGGAAGCAGGCACUUUGCACUUUGAAAGAACAGGUUUUCAACUAUUGAUGAAUGACAAAGUAGGUGGCCAAGGCCAGAGAUGCUGAAGGGAUGGGCAGGCCUCCUGGGACUCUCAAACACAUGGAAACAGGGUGAUGAGUUACACUAAGAAGAAAAGGUUGGGAAACAAAGGAAACACACUGGGUCACAAGGAGACCUCAGAUGACAGGAGAGGGCGACUGCAGCUUGGAGCUGGAGGGGCGGGUCCUGGAAGAGCGGAAGGAUGGCAUCGAGGUUUCUGGGAUCACAGAAAAGAUCUUUUUUUUCCUGAGCUGGAACAAGCAGAUGGAGGGAAGAAGGAGCUGCCACCAGAGCUGAUCAUCUGUCACCUCUCAUUCCUUCAGGGGCUCCCUGUUCUGAGGAGAAGAAUGGCGGUCUAUCUGCAAAGGCGAGAGCCAACUUUCAAACAGCAAGAAGCCUGACACCAGCGAGCCAGUGUAGGUGCUGAGUCACUGGGCAGAUUCAGGUGUUAGCUCUGAGGAAUGACAUCAUAAACACAAAGACCUCAGGGGACAGCAUAGUGUCAGCUCCACAAACUGCUCCUGAGGAAACGUGGAGUCUGGGUACACAAAGUACCAAAAUAUAAAGCGAAAUAAAGGCAGGCAGAACACAGACUAUCUGCUCUCAAUAACAGCAGAAUUGGAGGCUGCCAGGUAUGGAGGCAGAUUCUUGAUCUCGGGAGUCAAGUGACUCACUGUGUCACCAAAGACUCCACCUGGGUCUAGGACCAACCGACCACUGGAGUGUUCUAUCCCUAACAUUUCCUCACUUUUCUCACAAAACAUAAUAGAAAAUGAGAUGAGUAUUGCUGGCCUCAGCUAUAGGGCUUGUGAGAGAAGAACACUUGGACUUUAAUAUCAGUGUUUCAUAUUUGUUUUGUUUGUUUGUUUUGAGAUAAUGUCUCAAUGUAGCCAAGGUUGGCCUUGAACUCAUGAUCCUUGUCUGUCUGCCUCUUGAGUGUUGGAUUACAGGUGUUUGCCACAAUGCUUGGCUUUAACACUUUUUGAAAAUUUUACACAUACUUCUGCUUUUGGCAAAUGAUACCGGAUUUAUAUUUAAGAAACAUAUUUGAAAGAUUAUUAAAGCAAAAACAAAGUUUGCUUAAUAGAAAGUAAAACCUCAAAACAAAUACAGUGCAAUUCUGGUAAUACUCAUUAAGGUAAAUACAGAUGGAUGUUAUUGCUA